GACGAACGCUGGCGGCGUGCUUAACACAUGCAAGUCGAACGGAAAGGCCUGCUUUCCCUUGUGGAUUGCGGGUACUCGAGUGGCGAACGGGUGAGUAACACGUGAGUGAUCUGCCCCCAACUUGGGUAUAAGCCUGGGAAACUGGGUCUAAUUCCCGAUAGGACUGCAGGGUGGUGCCUGUGGUGGAAAACGAUUUUCUAGUGGUUGGGGAUGAGCUCGCGGCCUAUCAGCUUGUUGGUGGGGUAAUGGCCUACCAAGGCGGCGACGGGUAGCCGGCCUGGGAGGGUGGACGGCCACAUUGGGACUGAGAUACGGCCCAGAGUCCUACGGGAGGCAGCAGUGGGGAAUAUUGCACAAUGGGCGGAAGCCUGAUGCAGCGACGCCGCGUGGGGGAUGACGGCCUUCGGGUUGUAAACUCCUUUCGACCGCGAGGAAGCCACCUGGUUGGAAGGGUGGUGACGGUAGUGGUAGAAGAAGCACCGGCUAACUACGUG
rnacentral:rRNA from 1 species